rnacentral:lncRNA from 1 species
UAAUCUCUUUGUUCAACCUAGUCAAAAAUUGUGCCAUUGUAGCUUCCCUAUCUUCCUCUACAAUAGCCUGAAUCAUAGCAAUCUCCAUCUCCUUAUGGUAAUCCUCUACACUCUUUGAUCCUUGGGUAAGACUCUGUAGCUUAAGAUAAAGAUCUCGAUGGGAAUGGCUAGGAAUGAACUGUUUCCUUAUAAGUGCCCUCAACUCUCC